rnacentral:rRNA from 1 species
AGCGAACGCUGGCGGCAGGCCUAACACAUGCAAGUCGAACGAACCUUUCGGGGUUAGUGGCGGACGGGUGAGUAACACGUGGGAACGUGCCUUUAGGUUCGGAAUAACUCAGGGAAACUUGUGCUAAUACCGAAUGUGCACUUCGUGGGAAAGAUGUAUCGCCUUUAGAGCGGCCCGCGUCUGAUUAGCUAGUGGGUUGAGGUAAUGGCUCACCAAGGCGACGAUCAGUAGCUGGUCUGAGAGGAGGAUCAGCCACAUUGGGACUGAGACACGGCCCAAACUCCUACGGGAGGCAGCAGUGGGGAAUCUUGCGCAAUGGGCGAAAGCCUGACGCAGCCAUGCCGCGUGAAUGAUGAAGGUCUUAGGAUGGUAAAAUUCUUUCACCGGGGACGAUAAUGACGGUACCCGGAGAAGAAGCCCCGGCUAACUUCGUG